rnacentral:lncRNA from 1 species
ACCCACUGAGCAGGAAAUAGGUUUUAAUGAAGCAGGUUAUACCCUUGAAUUUCCAAAAUUUCCAACUCGAUGCACAGUAGACUAAAUAAGUGUUAAAGAAGUAAAGCCUCGAUUAGCAGCUCUUCACCUUGCCCUGAGUUUGCGUUGCUAAGUUCAACAUUUCCCACAGACAGUCUGAGAGCUCCUCACAUAUUUCCACCUCACCAUGAAAAUAAGUGCCUCCCUGGGAAGGGUUGGAGAAUGUUUCUUACCCAAGUGUGGAAGCCCGUCAUGGACAUGGAGCUAACCUCACACUUCCCAGGCAGUUCUGCUCUUGUCUUCUGCCAGUGGUUGACUGUUUGUCGUUGACUCCCACCUAAACUUGCACUAUUGCCAACUAGGACCUGGAGUGAGGCCAGGUUCUGGCUGUGCCUAGAAAAGAAAACUGAGGAAUCCAGAGGUGUGAGAGAGACUGAGAGGAAGCAGGAAGGAAAAUGGAAGAAGGGACAAAGAGGAAGGAAAGAGGCUAAACAACAAAGGAGAAAUGGUGACCUUUUCUAAAUUACCCAUAGCACUGAUAUAAAAUUUUAAGACUGCUUCAAGGAGUGGCUACGAGUAUGGGUUUUGGAGCAGAACUCUCUGGAAUCAAGUCCGGCUCUGCUGCCUAUUGCCAAGUGACAUGGACAGGUUACCUAAAACAUUCCAGUUACUGAGCUGUAAAAUGGGGGAUGUAAUAGUACUUCUCAAGUUAAGAGGAUUGAGUAAUAUGAUCUAUGUAAAUAUCUUAGGACAGAGUAAUUGCUAAAUAAUGUUCGCUGUGCUCGUAAGCUUGAAUGAGGACAUUUUCAUUAAAAACAGAUAGAUAUAUGCAGGUGAAGGAUGUGUUAACAAAUGUUUUUCAGAGUUCCCAUUAUGGCUCAGUGGGUUACAAACCGUCUUAGUAUCCUUGAUGGUGUGGAUUUGAUCCCUGGUCUCACUCAGUAGGUUAAGAAUCCAGUGUUGCCGUGAGCUGCAGUGUAGGUCGAAGACGAAUCUCAGAUCUAGCAUUGCUGUGGCUGUGGUGUAGACUGGCAGCUGCAGCUCUGAUUUGACCUUCAGCCUGGGAACUUCCAUAUGCCGCAGGUGCCACCCUAAAAAGCAAAACAAAUCAAAGAAACCUGUUUUUUUCAAAUGCACCAUUAUUGUUGGAAAGAGUGAGAGUUCCUAAAAUGCUUUAAAAAUUAAAAAAAAUAAAAUAAAAAUGAGUGGGGACAGUGAUGUUUCCUUUCAGUCAUUUAGAUGUGAUUACCUGUGCUAGUAGUGUUUUUUAAGAUAAACUUUCUAUGAGUUAGAGGGAAGAGGUAUGUAUCUUGAAAAGCCCUGGUUGUUACUGUUACUGUUUUUAAAAUAAGACAAGGGUCAAGUGAGGAGACUGUCUCUGCCACUGCUUCAGUUUUACAUUGUUGAUUUGGAGUGGGGAUUUUUUUUGUUUUUGUUGGUUGGUUGGUUGGUUUUUUGCUUUAUAGGACUGCACCAGUGGCAUAUGGAGUUUCCCAGGCUAGGGGUCGAAUCGGAGCUAUAGCCGCUGGCCUAUGCCACAGCCACAGCAAAACCAGAUCUGAGCCUUGUAUGUGACCUGUACCACAGCUCACAGCAACACCAGAUCCUUAACCCAGUGAGCAAGGCCAGGGAUCGAACCCAAACCUCAUGGUUACUAGUCAGAUUUGUUUCCACUGCACUACAACAGGAACUCUUGGAGUGGUUUUCGAUAGGCUUGAAAGACCAUGGGUCCCAUAUUUAGUAUGUGAUGAUUUCAAAUUGGAAGGGUAUUUGGUGUUGCCCGUACUCUUAUUUAUGCCUUGAAAAUGGAAACAAUCCAUCUAUUCAAAUAGAUAAGCUUUGCAACUUUGUAUGUUUCCCCUGUGAGGUCUAAACUUCAUGAAUUUGGUCUCCCAGUGUCAAUGACAUGCAGUGGAGGAUCUGACACUUAGAAGUAAAGUAUCAUGGAAUCCUCACUAAUUUUGAACAAGAAGGGGAUAGAGUAAGAACUAAAGUUGACCUUUCAUCAUUUCCUACUCCAGGAGGGGAACUGUUGGGGCCACAAAGAAAAUGCCUCCUUAUUCCAAAAAGGAGUCAAAGAUACAGAAUUGAGGCCUAUUUGAGCACAGGGUGGUGUGGAGAAUCAGCCAAAGCCAGUCUUUGAUGAAACUAGAAAUAGCUUCAGAGAAAUCCACAGCACUGAAAAGUUCUCAGAGAGAGAGAACUUGUCACCAGGACUCAGGGAAACCUAGCCUGUAGUCCUCAUCCUGUCAUUUUGAAGCCCUGUGACACUGGCCAGGCCCCUUGGGGCCCCUUGAUGCACAGGUAAUGAGGAUCAGGUGACACUGGCUCCUUCUGUGAAUGCCAAAUGUCAUUGCUGCAUCAAUUUUUUAGAGGAUCUUGAUCAAGUAUCUAAUUUUUGAGAACCUCCGGUUACAGUAUAACUCACUGUGGUUGCUGUGUCAGUUUUGCAGCAUAUGAUAACCCCUUCUCUGCAGCAGGACACAUCAAAUGAUGGAUCGCAGAUUGAAAGGGCACUUGGAGGUCUUCUGCUUCAACCCAGCUGAGUAUGAGUGUGGUGUGGUGUAGUGGGAGGUUUUUUGCUGUAUCUUUAGAUUUGCAUCCGUCAGGGCUGGGGAUAAUGCUUUUCUAUGACUCAUGAUUUUCAUAUUUUUAACCUUUUGGUCCGCCACUUAUAGGUACUGUAUCAAAUUUGUGAAUGCCUUUCUUCUUCCUCUCAAAAAGGGGAAUUGUGUCUUUCUCCAUUUUUCAUUAUUAGUUAGCAAUGGUUUCUUUUGUGCUGUUUUUUUCUUUUUUCCUUUUUAGCCAUUCCACAGCAUAUGGAAUUCCUGGUCCAGGGAUCAGAUCCAAGCUGAAGUUUCGACCUAAGCCACAGCUGCAACAAUGCCAGAUACUUAAACCACUGUGCUGGGCUGGGGAUUGAACCUACAUCCCAGUGCUCCCAAGGUGGUGCUGAUCCCACUGCGCCACAGUGGGAACUCCUCUUUUGUACUGUUCUGUGAAUUAAUUUACUGCUACUACUACUACAUCUAAUUAUUUAGCAUUGAUUCCACACUAGGAAAUUUUAGCAAGAAAACUGCUUUUAUAUUAGUAUUAUUCUUAAAUUGUGUUCUUGAACAGUCCUCAGAUGUUAUUUAUUCAGUCCAAUGUCUGGCUGCUCUCCACUUUUUGAGGCCCAGAAAUGACCUCUUAUAAACAGCAAAUUAAUGGCAGAGCUGAUCAAUGGUUGAGAAAUCAGAAGCAGAGGAUUUGAAAUAGUUGCCAUGGGUAUUUCUUUCUAGAUCAUGCUGUGUGAGAGAUCGUUUUCCUACUGUUGGCAUUUUUUCCUUUAGUGGAUUUUCCACGUUCUUUAUUUUCAGCUCUGCCUCUCCAUCCUCUUUUCUUUUUCUCUCAACUACAUUUUAGCCACACACGGGGAGAAUGGGAAGGCCCUGAUCAAAUCAACUAGUUUUUCUUUUUUUUUUUUUAACUUUUAUUUUCUGGUAAAAGGUUAAUAGAGGAAGAAAUUGAAAUACUAGCCAAAAUGAAAUUCGAAAGGAUUGAAUUUAUUACCUGUGUUUUAUGGCUGGCCUUUGUUACCAAAAAAUGACUCAAUUCCAUAGAGUAUGUCCAGCUGCAGAAUAUCAGUGUUCUCCUUGCUUUCCGUUUCACCUGUCAGCAAUGAAUAUUGCUAAAAAUUCAGCAAAUAUUGAUCAAGAUUUUUGUGUUUAAAGUGCUUCCUUAUUAAAUUGAAGAAUAAUAAUUAAAUAAGUUGAAUGAUUUUACUUGGUACAUCUAACAGCACUGUCAUUUAGACCUACUGAAAAAUCCUAAGAAUGAAACCAUGGUAAGCAGGUCAAUGUUUGUGCCUACUAUACUUUCCUUUGAACCAAGAGCCCAGUAAACUUUCUAAUGGCUUUAAAUGAAUAAGAAUAAAAGGCCAGUUUCACUUCCUCAAUUUUUAUUGAUGUGCCUCACUUAUUUUAAUGGCUUGCAUGUAUUUUUUAGUGCUGUGUUAGUAAUGAUUUAAUGUAAAUUCAUACCAAUAGGAAAAAUCUCACUGUGUUAAAAUUAGUUUUGGGGUCCCUUCUGUUGUAUACAAUUGUUGUUUAAUAUUAAAACCAUAGCAAUAUACAUCCAGCACUAUCAAAUUUUCUUCUUUACUGCAAGUUGUGGAACAAACUUUAUUCUCUAUAUGUCAUUUUUAUUUCCCUUUCAACAUAAUUUCUUUAUUGUAAGAAAAGCCACCAAUAUUCAUUUUUAAGGAAUACUGCAAUCCUAUAUUAUUCUCUCGUUCGUUAUUUUGUAAAAUCCGUAAAAAUCCUCUCCGUAUCUCCACACCAAUAACUGAGGGACUGUCUAUUAUUCGAUCUUUUAAAAAAUUGGAUUAUAUCAUGCUUUUGUUUAAAAUACUUUUCAGUUUUUAUUUAAAGUUGAAGUGGCUUGUUCUUAAACGUUGUUUUAUUGCCCUGCAUGUAUUUUUUAAUAAAGAAAUAUUGGUUUC